rnacentral:rRNA from 1 species
UACGAAGGGUGCAAGCGUUACUCGGAAUUACUGGGCGUAAAGCGUGCGUAGGGGGUUUGUUAAGUCUGUUGUGAAAGCCCCGGGCUCAACCUGGGAAUGGCAAUGGAUACUGGCAAGCUAGAGUGCGGUAGAGGGUAGUGGAAUUCCCGGUGUAGCGGUGAAAUGCGUAGAGAUCGGGAGGAACACCAGUGGCGAAGGCGGCUACCUAGACCAGCACUGACACUGAGGCACGAAAGCGUGGGGAGCAAACAGG